UACGUAGGUGGCAAGCGUUGUCCGGAAUUAUUGGGCGUAAAGCGCGCGCAGGCGGUCCUUUAAGUCUGAUGUGAAAGCCCACGGCUCAACCGUGGAGGGUCAUUGGAAACUGGGGGACUUGAGUGCAGGAGAGAAGAGUGGAAUUCCACGGUGUAGCGGUGAAAUGGCGUAGAGAUGUGGAGAACACCAGUGGCGAAGGC
rnacentral:rRNA from 1 species